GGGACACAGAAAAAGCCAAUAGAGGUCUCGAUAUGGUAUUUAUAUCAAUUUAGUUCAAGAAGAGAAGCAAAGACAUUCAUGAGGAUGGAUUGCCAUUGUGGUGUACAAGAUAAGAUAUCUUGUUGAUCAAAAAUGCUAAAGAAAAGGCUGAGAGUGACAAAUCAAAGGACCCGAACUCUGGAUUAGUCCUAUAGGUGGCUCAAAGAGUCAAACCCGUGGAGAUACCGGGAGUUCUGAUUCGCCUCAAAGAAGUAAUUAGGAUCAGUUUCCAAAAAAAAAAAAAGGACCCGUGCUGCUUACUUUGCUUUAGGUUUAUGGAAACUUUUAACCUUUUUUGCUAGAUCUUGAAAGAAAUAAAUGAUAUGUCAUGUUCACUUGUUUAUUACAAGUUUUGGGUUUCGGCCGUUUAAAAUGGAUUUUUUCAUGAUGGGACAAAUUGUGCUGUCCCUCACUAGAAGCUUGGAUCUACAAAUGCUUAUACUAUAAGACUUUUAAACGCUCCAUUUGAAGUCCAACUCCGGGAGCCAUAUUUGAGGGUGUCGUUUUAUGAAGAUUGAGGAAUAUGUGGUUGUUACUUAAAGUUGGAACAAUUCCUGUCCUCAUGUUGAGGAAGUGUAUUAUCUAUGCCAUUAUUGAGUACAAGUGUUAAGGUAUUGUUUGUAGGUUUGGACUUAUAGCUUGUUUUAAAUUAUUUAAACCUCGUAAUACUA